rnacentral:piRNA from 1 species
UGAAGGACAUCUACACUUGGAUUGAGGACC